rnacentral:piRNA from 1 species
UGAACAAAGUGUGCCUAUUAUAUCC